UCUUCUGCAGCGGAGCUCAUCACCGGCGGCGGAGGAGCUCCAACCACCACCCAAAACCUGCUAACCCCAACCUCUCAUUCCACUGAUCAUGAAUCCCAGGAUCAAAUAAGAUGAAAUCUAACCAACUGAGUGAAUCGAAGGAAAGCAAGGUAUGAACCCUAGAAACAGGGACUGAAAUUAAAUGGAGGAAACGCGAUAACCGUCCCUGAAAAUUAGGGAAAAUUCUCCCCUAGCUAGCCUCUGCACACUAGUAACUCAAAUGCAAGCAGCUGAAGGUUUGAGGUCUACCUUUGUCUGAAAAGAUGACUGGAAAGUAGCAAAAACUUAGGUUUGCAUUGGUUAUGUAGCAGGUCUCAAAUUUUGGAAUUUCCGUGGUUUGUUGCAAGUUGAUUUUGUUGUAGAUGGUGAGUUGAAUUGGUGCAUGCUUGUUGUUUGUUGCCAUGUUAUGGACUGAUAUGAUGCUCAUGGUUAGGUUGGAUAAUUCUAAUUGCAAUCUUGGUUCAUGUUCAUGGCUUGACAUGGUUUAUGUAUUGCUGAGGUGUUGCUUAUGUUCUGACUUGCUGUUGGAUGAACGCAUGUCAUGUUGCAAGAUUAAUGAGAAGGUUGCAGAUUUGGAUGUUGUUUGAUGUAGGGCUUGAUUGAAUGAGGCUGUAGGUUUACUUAAAUGGUGAUGUUUGAUUUCAAGAUUUGUUGCAGCAGGUCUAGCUUGGCAUAAGUUUUGUAUCAUGGUUUGUAACAUGGAAUAUCAAGUAUGCAUUGCUUCAUGGCAUGCUUUCUAGCAGGUCAUGGUUUGCUCAUGCUUAGCUUAGUUCAUGGCAUGAUGGUUGAACCAACAUGACACCAAGGUUGGAAAUUGAAGCAUCCAUGUACAAAUGGCCAACCCAAGAUCAAAAUGAACUUUGAAAAUAGGAUUAGAACUAGGAUGGGGAAUUUAGGAGUUUAUGAUGGAAAAAUGGUUUGAUUUGACUUUGGUCAAAGUUUAACAAAAAGGCAACUAUUGACCAAAGUCAACAUUUAGUCAAAAAGUCUUUUUUUUGUUAUUUUCCCUGUAGGAACAUUUGUAUGAGCAUGUAAUGAAUGGAAUUGAUAUUUUGUAUGGAAUUUGUAUUGAAUCUUGUAUAGACUUGAUAUUGAAUGAAUUGAUGAAUCUGAA